rnacentral:lncRNA from 1 species
CAUAAGGAAAAUAAAUUCUUAAGAACUGCAAAAAUUAAAAAUGUAAUAGGCAGCAAAUAGCUUGUAAUGGGACUAAUACUGACCCUUGGCAAUUCAGCUAAGCUGUCACAUGGCCUUCCUAAGAUUUAUAUGCAGGAUCUUUUUUUCUGCUUUUUUUUACAAUAGUAAACAUGUUUGCUAAAGGGCGUUAGGUAGUUCAAAGGUAGAAAUAUAAGUAGAGAAAAUCAGCUACUGAUUUUUUAAUAAGUAAGUCUUAGUUCAAGGUAUCUGUGGGUAGCCAAAAACAUGUGAGAUGUUUGCUUUUACUGCAGGAUAUUAAACGUUUUAACACUGAGGCUUUGGGGCUCAGAGCUGGUGUAUAUAACACGACCUUCUGAGAGAGAAAUCGACAAUUACAGCAAGGAGAAUCUUGGAUCAGAUGCGUACGUUAUUCUCUCCGAGCAGAGCACAUGGUGAAAAGAUAGCAGUCCAAGAAAGAUUAUCGACACUAGAAAGAAAGCGGUUAAUGCUACUGCCCUGACAAAUGAGCUGAGCUUGAAGAUCUGGCUGCUCUUGGACUCAAGUGUUUACAUAAAGAUUGUCAUCUUCCGUAUAAAAGGAAAUGAAGUUUCUCUUAUGGAUGAAGAGAAAGCUAAAAAUGAGCCUCAGUGCAUAAUAAGAGUUUGCGGAGAGGACAACAAAGAAAGAUCAGCCAGUGAUCUCAGUACAAAAGAUGGCAUCUGCUACUGAAAUUAUGUGUAGCUGUUAAACAUAGGUCCCUGCCUACAGGGAUACUUAAGGAUUUACUACCCAUUGAAAUCAAUGAGAGGUAGGUAUCUGCCUUUCAGUUUGGUCUUUAGUCCUUUAGGGUACUCGAACCUGCGUAUGUGGUUUCACAAAAUGCAUGCUAUUAUCAGAAAUGUGUUGAAGCGGAUAUUUCUGUUGAAAUGACCCAGGGAUCAAUGCAGAAAAGCGACCCGUUCAACAGUUAACUCUCUUGACUAUAUAGUGUAGGAAUUCUGAAAUUUAAACAUAACUGUCAUGGUGAGGACUUAGGAAUAUAACCACUAUAAUCACCGGGAUAAUACAAGAUUGGGUCCAUGGUUCUCAUUCUGUCAAGACUGCUUUUGCCUUAAAUAGAAAGCUCUCUGGGUAAGAAUCGUAGAAUUAAGCUUCAAAAGUCUAUGAUAAAUGAAGGAAAGAACAGAUUUUAAUUUGCCGUGUUAUCGUCAAAUCGCCCCCUAAUAU